rnacentral:rRNA from 1 species
UACGUAGGGAGCAAGCGUUGUUCGGAUUUACUGGGCGUAAAGAGUGCGUAGGUGGGUAGUUAAGUGUGAUAUUAAAUCCCGUGGCUCAACCAUGUGGCUGUAUCGCAUACUGACUGUCUAGAGGACAUGAGAGGCAAGUGGAAUUACUGGUGUAGCAGUGAAAUGCGUAGAUAUCAGUAGGAACACCAAUGGCGAAGGCAGCUUGCUGGCAUGUAUCUGACGCUAAGGCACGAAAGCGUGGGGAGCGAACAGG